CAGGGUGUAGCUUAAAUAUAAAGCGGUUCCCUUACACCGAGCAGCCAUUCGUGCAAACCGAAUUACCCUGA
rnacentral:tRNA from 1 species